AGAGUUUGAUCCUGGCUCAGGACGAACGCUGGCGGCGUGCCUAACACAUGCAAGUCGAACGGGGUAAUUUCUUCGGAGGUUACUUAGUGGCGAACGGGUGAGUAACGCGUGAGGAACCUGCCUUUCAGUGGGGGACAACAGUUGGAAACGACUGCUAAUACCGCAUAACGUAUCUGGACCGCAUGAUCCGGAUACCAAAGCUUUAUGUGCUGAAAGAUGGCCUCGCGUCUGAUUAGCUAGUUGGUGGGGUAACGGCUCACCAAGGCGACGAUCAGUAGCCGGUCUGAGAGGAUGAACGGCCACAUUGGGACUGAGAUACGGCCCAGACUCCUACGGGAGGCAGCAGUGGGGAAUAUUGGGCAAUGGGGGAAACCCUGACCCAGCAACGCCGCGUGAAGGAAGAAGGCCCUCGGGUUGUAAACUUCUUUUACCAGGGACGAAGAACGUGACGGUACCUGGAGAAAAAGCAACGGCUAACUACGUGCCAGCAGCCGCGGUAAUACGUAGGUUGCAAGCGUUGUCCGGAUUUACUGGGUGUAAAGGGCGUGUAGGCGGAGCUGCAAGUCAGAUGUGAAAUCCCGGGGCUCAACCCCGGAACUGCAUUUGAAACUGUAGCCCUUGAGUAUCGGAGAGGCAAGCGGAAUUCCUAGUGUAGCGGUGAAAUGCGUAGAUAUUAGGAGGAACACCAGUGGCGAAGGCGGCUUGCUGGACGACAACUGACGCUGAGGCGCGAAAGCGUGGGGAGCAAACAGAAUUAGAUACCCUGGUAGUCCUACGCUGUAAACGCAUGAAUAAAUAGGUGUGGGAGGACUUGACCCCUUCCGUGCCGCAGUUAACACAAUAAGUAUUCCACCUGGGGAGUACGACCGCAAGGUUGAAACUCAAAGGAAUUGACGGGGGCCCGCACAAGUAGUGGAUUAUGUGGUUUAAUUCGACGCAACGCGAAGAACCUUACCAGGAUUUGACAUCCAACUAACGAAGUAGAGAUACAUUAGGUGCCCUUCGGGGAAAGUUGAGACAGGUGGUGCAUGGUUGUCGUCAGCUCGUGUCGUGAGAUGUUGGGUUAAGUCCCGCAACGAGCGCAACCCCUAUUGUUAGUUGCUACGCAAGAGCACUCUAGCGAGACUGCCGUUGACAAAACGGAGGAAGGCGGGGACGACGUCAAAUCAUCAUGCCCUUUAUGUCCUGGGCUACACACGUAAUACAAUGGUGGUAAACAGAGGGAAGCAAAACUGCGAAGUGGAGCAAAUCCCUAAAAGCCAUCUCAGUUCGGAUUGCAGGCUGCAACUCGCCUGCAUGAAGCUGGAAUUGCUAGUAAUCGCGGAUCAGCAUGCCGCGGUGAAUACGUUCCCGGGCCUUGCACUCAGCGCCCGUCA
rnacentral:rRNA from 1 species